AAACCUGAGAGAAGUCAAGUAACUAAGAAAAAUGAACCACCCAAAUAUUGUGAAGCUAAAGGAAGUUAUUCGAGAAAGUGACAUUCUGUACUUUAUUUUUGAGUACAUGGAAUGCAACCUGUACCAACUUAUGAAAGACAGGGAGAAGAUGUCUUCUGAGGGUGAAGUUAGGAAUUGGUGUAUUCAAGUUUUCCAAGGUCUUGCUUAUAUGCACCAGCGGGGAUACUUCCACCGUGAUCUGAAGCCUGGUACGUUUAUCAUUGCAUCCGAAUCCUUUGUUAAAUGUGCUAUAUGAUAAAAUAGAGAACAUGCUUUUUGA